GGUACACGAGCGGCGAACGGGUGAGUAACACGUGGGUGAUCUGCCCUGCACUCUGGGAUAAGCUUGGGAAACUGGGUCUAAUACCGGAUAUGACCACAGCAUGCAUGUGUUGUGGUGGAAAGAUUUAUCGGUGCAGGAUGGGCCCGCGGCCUAUCAGCUUGUUGGUGGGGUAAUGGCCUACCAAGGCGACGACGGGUAGCCGACCUGAGAGGGUGACCGGCCACACUGGGACUGAGACACGGCCCAGACUCCUACGGGAGGCAGCAGUGGGGAAUAUUGCACAAUGGGCGGAAGCCUGAUGCAGCGACGCCGCGUGAGGGAUGAAGGCCUUCGGGUUGUAAACCUCUUUCAGCAGGGACGAAGCGUGAGUGACGGUACCUGCAGAAGAAGCACCGGCUAACUACGUGCCAGCAGCCGCGGUAAUACGUAGGGUGCGAGCGUUGUCCGGAAUUACUGGGCGUAAAGAGUUCGUAGGCGGUUUGUCGCGUCGUUUGUGAAAACCCGGGGCUCAACUUCGGGCUUGCAGGCGAUACGGGCAGACUUGAGUGUUUCAGGGGAGACUGGAAUUCCUGGUGUAGCGGUGAAAUGCGCAG
rnacentral:rRNA from 1 species